rnacentral:rRNA from 1 species
UACGUAGGGGGGCAAGCGUUGUCCGGAAUCAUUGGGCGUAAAGCGCGUGUAGGCGGCUUGAUAAGUCUGCUCUGAAAGCCCGGGGCUCAACCCUGGGAGGCGGGUGGAUACUGUCGAGCUCGAGUCCGGAAGAGGAGAGUGGAAUUCCCGGUGUAGCGGUGAAAUGCGCAGAUAUCGGGAAGAACACCCGUGGCGAAGGCGGCUCUCUGGGACGGUACUGACGCUGAGACGCGAAAGCGUGGGGAGCGAACAGG